GAUGAACGCUGGCGGCGUGCCUAAUACAUGCAAGUCGAGCGAACAGACGAGGAGUUUGCUCCGCUGACGUUAGCGGCGGGCGGGUGAGUAACACGUGGAUAACCUACCUAUAAGACUGGGAUAACUUCGGGAAACCGGAGCUAAUACCGGCUAAUAUCGUGAACCGCAGGGUUCAAUAGUGGAAGCCGGUUUUGCUGUCACUUAUAGAUGGAUCCGCGCCGCAUUAGCUAGUUGGUAAGGUAACGGCUUACCAAGGCAACGAUCCGUAGCCGACCUGAGAGGGUGAUCAGCCACACUGGAACUGAGACACGGUCCAGACUCCUACGGGAGGCAGCAGUAGGGAAUCUUGCGCAAUGGGCGAAAGCCUGACGGAGCAACGCCGCGUGAGUGAUGAAGGUCUUCGGAUCGUAAAGCUCUGUUAUUAGGGAAGAACAAAUGUGUAAGUAACUAUGCACGUCUUGACGGUACCGAAUCAGAAAGCAACGGCUAACUACGUG
rnacentral:rRNA from 1 species